UGAGGAAUAUUGGUCAAUGGACGAGAGUCUGAACCAGCCAAGUAGCGUGAAGGAUGACUGCCCUACGGGUUGUAAACUUCUUUUAUAAAGGAAUAAAGUGAGGCACGUGUGCCUUUUUGUAUGUACUUUAUGAAUAAGGAUCGGCUAACUCCGUGCCAGCAGCCGCGGUAAUACGGAGGAUCCGAGCGUUAUCCGGAUUUAUUGGGUUUAAAGGGAGCGUAGAUGGAUGUUUAAGUCAGUUGUGAAAGUUUGCGGCUCAACCGUAAAAUUGCAGUUGAUACUGGAUAUCUUGAGUGCAGUUGAGGCAGGCGGAAUUCGUGGUGUAGCGGUGAAAUGCUUAGAUAUCACGAAGAACUCCGAUUGCGAAGGCAGCCUGCUAAGCUGCAACUGACAUUGAGGCUCGAAAGUGUGGGUAUCAAACAGG
rnacentral:rRNA from 1 species